AACGAACGCUGGCGGCAUGCCUAACACAUGCAAGUCGAACGAGAUCUUCGGGUCUAGUGGCGCACGGGUGCGUAACGCGUGGGAAUCUGCCCUUUGGUUCGGAAUAACAGUUGGAAACGACUGCUAAUACCGGAUGAUGACGAAAGUCCAAAGAUUUAUCGCCAGAGGAUGAGCCCGCGUAGGAUUAGCUAGUUGGUGUGGUAAAGGCGCACCAAGGCGACGAUCCUUAGCUGGUCUGAGAGGAUGAUCAGCCACACUGGGACUGAGACACGGACCAGACUCCUACGGAAGGCAGCAGUGGGGAAUAUUGGGAAUUGGGCGGAAGCCUGAUCCAGCAGUGCCGCGUGAGUGAUGAGGGCCUUAGGGUUGUAAAGCUCUUUGACACGGGAGGGGAAUGACAGUACCGGGAGAAUAAGCUCCGGCUAACUCCGUGCCAGCAGCCGCCGUAA
rnacentral:rRNA from 1 species